GGCGUAAUUGAAAAUGGCGGCUCGCGGAAGGGAAUGGUGGGAGGGGUCGAGAAGUGGCGUGACCGCAGAAAUCCUGAGCAGGUGGUAGCCGGAGCCUUGGCUGGCUGACCUGGAGGCUGAGGCCAAGUGGAGAUUCCUGUAAGCAGGUGCCCCAGACCACUCUGCGCUUUGAGCCGGACUUAACUGUCCUGGACUGUUAAACUGGAGGAGUGUCCGGCCGCUUGGGACCCAGAACACCUGCGUUCCAACCUUCAGGGACCCCAGAGACUACUUCAUUAUUCCGAACCACCUCUUAGUAAUGUAGGAAGAGCUUUUAGCUGCCCACUGUACAUAACGAUGCUUCCUUAUGUUAUCCAGCUAAAAGAAGUCAUGACCAUAAGGGAAAAUACCACAGAAGGGUCACUGGAGAAAAACUAAGUGAGGAGGGUCCACAAAUACUUAUUGAUUAGGUAAUUCGUUUGUCCAGGCCCACGCUCACCUCCACCCUCACCUCCAGGCUGAUCUCGCCUAUCUCAGAAACCCUAAUUUUACUGAGUCUGUAUCACACCAACCAACAAGUAGGUAGGUACUCUGCUAUGUUGCUUUUCUCCCUGUGGUUAUUGAUUGUUCCUUUCAUCUCCAGCUCAUUAGCUCCUCGAGGAAAGACUGGGCACUUCGUAAGCAUGGCUGAUUCCCUCUGGGCAUCUCCUCCGACAAACCUUCCAACAGGUUGUUAUUCUGGUUUUGUUUGGAUACAAUUCCAAGAAGAGGCUGGUCUGUGAAGCUUCUAACUGUACUGACGUUGAUACUGUACUUUGACCUGGUAAAAGGAACUCUAUAUUGGGUCAACAAGAAAGACUUACCUCAAGGCUGGCAGCAGAAACUGUUUAUAAGGAGAAACAUUCAUAUUUAUACACAAAGAUCUUUCAUUUAUUUAGCUCGAACUAAAUAAAAUAUUUUUAUUCUCAAA